rnacentral:lncRNA from 1 species
UGAAUAUGCUUUAUAAAAAUGUAUGCAAAAAAGUGAAUGUAUUUGUGUUUGUAAAUCUUAUUAACAAUAACCUUAGAAUAAUAAAUGCUGUAUUGCAUUCCUAAUGAUCAAUAAAAAAAAUAAAUUACCAUUCAGUGUUAUUCAUAUAGCUGUUUCACAAUACAAAUCAGUCCAGAAUUAUAUUGAAAAAAAAUGGAAAGGAAAUUCCCAAAACACAUUUCUAAUUCCAGAAAGCACAAUGUAUGUGGACUAUAGAUGAAUUGAGAUGUUAUUUGACAUCUCAGUUUGCACAGUUGUCAUUUAGACUGCAUUAGGCUGACUUACCCAGCACCUCUGUGUUUCGGUAGAGGGCGAGCAGCUGUCGUUUCUGAAGUGACAGGCACAGGUGCGAGAGGCUCUGGCCUAAUUCUGCUUCAGAUACAGGAUAACAGCUCCCUAUAGUGCUUUAGCUCAAAAGAGUCUUUGUGCAUUAUGUCAGCUUGCUGUAAUUGAUUUAAAAGCUACAACUUUGAUGAAUAUGCAUAUACGAAACUUUCGUAUGUAUUGUGUGUCAGACAGAUAACAUCGUAUAACAUGUCAAAUGAGUUCAACAAAAAAAUGUGUUGGUAUCUGACUUUUAGUUGACAUUUUUCUCAUCUCCACAGCGUCCAGGGAUGACCUCAGGGGCACGGAUGCCCCAUCAAGGCGCUCCCAUGGGGCCUCCUGGACCUCCAUAUGGUGGAACACCACCAAUUACCAGGGAUGCCUACCUCAGCACUAGACCCCAACCGAAAACGUCCUGCCCCAACCCAGCCAGUGCAACCUCCCCCCGUCCAGAACCGUCCCAGAAAGAAACCACUUGGAUUUCCAGCAACAAAUGAGAUAUCUGCAAGACAGAUGGACAUGAGAGACGCCCAAUCAGAUCCUUCAAUUGGAUGCUUCAAGUAGGCUGUUUAUUCUGCUGCAUGUUAGUUUGACAUUUUGUGAUGUCCCUGCCUGAUUGGUUUGUUCCUGUUUGCAGCUUCAAACUUGACUAAAGCAUAUUUCCCCAAAUGCAUGUCUGCACUUAAGGUAACAGAUUAAAGUAAAGUAAAAACAAAUAAAAAAUUACAUUUAUUAAAUGAACACAAUAGUCAACAUGACCUGAGAAUGAAUGUCCUGUUUCAGUGCAUGUGAAGUAGAACAUGCGGUUGCAGUCAGUUAGCUGUAUGUGUGGGCUGCAUGACCCUUCUCUCAUGCCGUUUGUGUUAAUUCAGAAUGUUUUCUGUCUUAUAGUUGACCUACGUUCAGUAAAUGCUCAUUUAAUUCACCUGAAUGCAUUAAUUAUUAAUUUUAGAUGAAGAAUACGUGACGAGUGUUGAGGCAUUCACUCUCACACCCCCAACCAUCUCAGUCUCUGUUUCUCAGCUUCUCCCGGAGGAGCAGUGUGGCUUAGGGUGGACGAGUCGGACCAUGAGAAAGUUUAUACUCCAGAGGGGGUGUGGAUGUGAAUGGGGACAGACAUUUCCUGCUCCAACAUGGUCAUGUGCUCCUCAGCUCUGGACCUGAGGAGCUCUCGGUGUUCAUAGGAGUGUGGCAUGUUUGUCUGUGGAAAAACUUUAUAUGCGUCAUGUUUGGGGAUAGAAGAGAAAUGAGGAACGUCUUUCUGAAAACAGCAGUUGGAUGCAGCUCAAUUUUUGUGGUCUAAAUUGAUGCUGGGAAUAACAUUAUAGAAGUCUUUAUUUUCACACAUUUAGACCACAAAGAUCUGUUUUUCAAAAAUGUUAUGGACUGCACAAACAGAAGAUGUUCUUGUUGAACAGCACUGUUUUUUAAUUGAUUUUCUACACUGUAAAAAAAAAAAUGGCAGCUGUGGUUGCCAGAUAUUCACCGUAAAAAAUAUGGUGACAAUGAUUCCAGUGUUACAGGCCGGCAUAUUGUUACCUGUAUAUUUUACAACUUAAAACCGUAUGUUUCAUUAAGUGAUAUAAUGUUAAAAAAAUAGCUAUUUUAAAAUCUUAUUUUUACCCUAAAAUGUACUGAUAACCACCAUGAUAAAUGUAUUAAAACAAGAAUCAGAAAGCGAGAAUCAGGAUCUAAAACAGUCAUUGACGCAGUAAAGUAGUCCGAAUGCCUGGUGAAAUCUUGUAAUGGUUUCAUAUUCAGUUAUUUUGCAAGGACUAAUUUACUUGGUUUGGUUGUACUAUGGGCCUAGACUAUUGGUAAAUGUCUAGGUGAUAUAAUGUUUAAAAACAUAGCUAUUUUACCUAUCAAAAUCUGUUUUUACCCUCAAAUAUACUGAUAACCAUCAUAAUAAAAGUGUUUAAACAGAGAGCCACAAGGCCAAAACAGUGUACAGUGCCAAAAAAUCAACAACAAAGAAAAAACAUCUUCAGGGUAGCACACAUGACAAUAAAAUAAUGCCAUAAACAUUAACUAAAUAACAUAAAAUAACACAAAUCACCCUAAUAUACAUUAUGGACAAUAAAAGAAGAAGAAACAAAAUUCAAUAUAAUGUGAUGUGUCACGCAGGAACCUCUGGGAAUAUCCUCUUACUUUUUUUCACUGUAUAUUAUGCAUUAAUUUAUAGUUUUAACUUCCAAAAAAGCAAAAAAAUUGACAGUCUUUUACAGUAAAAGUAAGUAAAACUACAUUAAGCAAAUUUUCACUGUAUACGGUUAAUUAACGUAAUUAACGUCACUUGUUUUUAUUGUAGCAUUUUUACUGUCCCCUUUUAUAAAAAUGACAAACAAUUUUACAGUAUGUUAACUAUGGCUUGCAGUUUGAUUGCCCUGU